UGUGUCGCCGACAAAAAAGGCGUCAGCACAACACACACACAGGUUACAGCUGAAAACCAUGCAAACCAUUCCAGUGCCGCAAAAACUUAGUCUGAUGUAUGCAUUGUUCAAGAAAAGUCGUGAACGGUAGCAAGAAAAAAAAUGCAAACAUGUGAAAUAAAAUUACCAAGGUGAAUUUGGAAGAAAUUUAAUAUGCUGCAGUGGUAUAGCAGAAAUUAGUUCUAAUCGCUUCCGAAUCGAAUAGGCCGAACAUACAGCGUGAAACGUCCUGAAAUAUGAGCACAUAUCUGGCACAGGUCUGGUUAUGCUCUUGAAAACAUACGGCAAAUGUAGAAGAACGUGUCAGCUGAUUUUUGCCUUAUAAACCAACAUGUAAGCGAUUACCAACCAUAAUCGGAAAUUAGAAUUCUACUGAAAACAAAAUUUUGCGUUCCAUUUUCGUGGCAGCUGAUAAAAUUUAUAGUUUGAGCAAAUUUCAAAAUCAAACACAAUAAAAAAAAAGUU